UACACGACCGUACCGCAAACCGACACUGGUGCGCGAGAUGAGUAUUCUAAGGCGCCUGAGAGAACUCAGGAGAAGGAACUCGGCAAAUUGACACCGUAACUUCGGAAGAAGGUGUGCCUUUAGUAGGUGAACCUGUACAAGGGGAGCCCAAUGAGGUUGCAAAAAAUCGGUGGCUGCGACUGUUUAAUAAAAACACAGCACUCUGCAAACACGAAAGUGGACGUAUAGGGUGUGACGCCUGCCCGGUGCUGGAAGAUUAAAUGAUGGGGUGCAAGCUCUUGAUUGAAGUCCCAGUAAACGGCGGCCGUAACGAUAACGGUCCUAAGGUAGCGAAAUUCCUUGUCGGGUAAGUUCCGACCUGCACGAAUGGCGUAACGAUGGCCACACUGUCUCCUCCUGAGACUCAGCGAAGUUGAAAUGUUUGUGAUGAUGCAAUCUCCCCGCGGAAAGACGGAAAGACCCCAUGAACCUUUACUGUAGCUUUGUAUUGGACUUUGAACAGAUCUGUGUAGGAUAGGUGGGAGGCUUUGAAGUGUGGUCGCUAGAUCGCAUGGAGCCAACGUUGAAAUACCACCCUGGUGUGUUUGAGGUUCUAACCUAGGCCCGUAAUCCGGGUCGGGGACAGUGCAUGGUAGGCAGUUUGACUGGGGCGGUCUCCUCCCAAAGCGUAACGGAGGAGUUCGAAGGUACGCUAGGUACGGUCGGACAUCGUGCUAAUAGUGCAAUGGCAUAAGCGUGCUUAACUGCGAGACUGACAAGUCGAGCAGAUGCGAAAGCAGGACAUAGUGAUCCGGUGGUUCUGUAUGGAAGGGCCAUCGCUCAACGGAUAAAAGGUACUCUGGGGAUAACAGGCUGAUACCGCCCAAGAGUUCAUAUCGACGGCGGUGUUUGGCACCUCGAUGUCGGCUCAUCUCAUCCUGGGGCUGUAGCCGGUCCCAAGGGUAUGGCUGUUCGCCAUUUAAAGAGGUACGUGAGCUGGGUUUAAAACGUCGUGAGACAGUUUGGUCCCUAUCUUCCGUGGGCGCUGCAGAUUUGAGGAAGCCUGCUCCUAGUACGAGAGGACCGGAGUGGACACACCUCUGGUGUAUCGGUUGUCACGCCAGUGGCAUUGCCGAGUAGCUAUGUGUGGAAGAGAUAACCGCUGAAAGCAUCUAAGCGGGAAACUCGUUUCAAGAUGAGAUCUGCCGGGGCCUUGAGCCCCCUAAAGAGUCGUUCAAGACCAGGACGUUGAUAGGUCGGGUGUGGAAGCGCAGUAAUGCGUUAAGCUAACCGAUACUAAUUGCUCGUGCGGCUUGACCU
rnacentral:rRNA from 1 species